rnacentral:rRNA from 1 species
GACGAACGCUGGCGGCGUGCUUAACACAUGCAAGUCGAACGCUGAAGCCCUUUCGGGGGUGGAUGAGUGGCGAACGGGUGAGUAACACGUGGGUAAUCUGCCCUGCACUCUGGGAUAAGCCUUGGAAACGGGGUCUAAUACCGGAUAGGACACAUCGCCGCAUGGUGUGUGUGUGGAAAGUUCCGGCGGUGCAGGUUGAGCCCGCGGCCUAUCAGCUUGUUGGUGGGGUGAUGGCCUACCAAGGCGACGACGGGUAGCCGGCCUGAGAAGGUGACCGGCCAGACUGGGACUGAGACACGGCCCAGACUCCUACGGGAGGCAGCAGUGGGGAAUCUUGCGCAAUGGGCGAAAGCCUGACGCAGCAACGCCGCGUGGGGGAUGACGGCCUUCGGGUUGUAAACCUCUUUCGACCGGGACGAAGGGUGACUGACGGUACCGGUAGAAGAAGCACCGGCUAACUACGUGCCAGCCGCCGCGGUAA